rnacentral:rRNA from 1 species
GGAAUCUUCCACAAUGGACGAAAGUCUGAUGGAGCAACGCCGCGUGAGUGAAGAAGGUUUUCGGAUCGUAAAACUCUGUUGUUGGAGAAGAACACGUUUGAGAGUAACUGUUCAGACGUUGACGGUAUCCAACCAGAAAGCCACGGCUAACUACGUGCCAGCAGCCGCGGUAAUACGUAGGUGGCAAGCGUUAUCCGGAUUUAUUGGGUUUAAAGGGUGCGUAGGCUGUGGGGAAAGUCAGGGGUGAAAGCCAGGCGCUUAACGCCGGAACUGCCUUUGAUACUUCUCCGCUGGAAUACGGAUGCCGUGGGAGGAAUGAGUAGUGUAGCGGUGAAAUGCAUAGAUAUUACUCAGAACACCGAUUGCGAAGGCAUCUCACGAAUCCGUCAUUGACGCUGAGGCACGAAAGCGUGGGGAUCAAACA